rnacentral:piRNA from 1 species
UCUGCAAGCAAUGGAGGCCACUAGGAGU